rnacentral:rRNA from 1 species
UACGAAGGGGCUAGCGUUGCUCGGAAUCACUGGGCGUAAAGGGUGCGUAGGCGGGUCUUUAAGUCAGGGGUGAAAUCCUGGAGCUCAACUCCAGAACUGCCUUUGAUACUGAGGAUCUUGAGUUCGGGAGAGGUGAGUGGAACUGCGAGUGUAGAGGUGAAAUUCGUAGAUAUUCGCAAGAACACCAGUGGCGAAGGCGGCUCACUGGCCCGAUACUGACGCUGAGGCACGAAAGCGUGGGGAGCAAACAGGGA